GAUGAAGAACGCAGCGAAAUGCGAUAAGUAAUGUGAAUUGCAGAAUUCAGUGAAUCAUCGAAUCUUUGAACGCACAUUGCGCCCCCUGGUAUUCCGGGGGGCUUGCCUGUUCGAGCGUCAUUUCACCACUCAAGCCUCGCUUGGUAUUGGGCAACGCGGUCCGCCGCGUGCCUCAAAUCGACCGGCUGGGUCUUCUGUCCCCUAAGCGUUGUGGAAACUAUUCGCUAAAGGGUGUUCGGGAGGCUACGCCGUAAAACAACCCCAUUUCUAAGGUUGACCUCGGAUCAGGUAGGGAUACCCGCUGAACUUAAGCAUAUCAAUAAGCGGAGGA
rnacentral:misc_RNA from 1 species